GGGCGUGUAGCUCAGUGGUAGAGUGCUUGCUUAGCAUGCAGAAGGUCCUGGGGUCAAUCCCCAGUACCUCUG
rnacentral:tRNA from 1 species